rnacentral:rRNA from 1 species
CUAUCAGCUUGUUGGUGGGGUAACGGCCUACCAAGGCGACGACGGGUAGCCGGCCUGAGAGGGCGACCGGCCACACUGGGACUGAGACACGGCCCAGACUCCUACGGGAGGCAGCAGUGGGGAAUAUUGCGCAAUGGGCGAAAGCCUGACGCAGCGACGCCGCGUGGGGGAUGAAGGCCUUCGGGUUGUAAACCCCUUUCAGCAGGGACGAAGCGAAAGUGACGGUACCUGCAGAAGAAGCGCCGGCUAACUACGUGCCAGCAGCCGCGGUAACACGUAGGGCGCAAGCGUUGUCCGGAAUUAUUGGGCGUAAAGAGCUCGUAGGCGGUCUGUUGCGUCCGCUGUGAAAACUCGGGGCUUAACCCCGAGCCUGCAGUGGAUACGGGCAGACUAGAGGUAGGUAGGGGAGAAUGGAAUUCCCGGUGUAGCGGUGAAAUGCGCAGAUAUCGGGAGGAACACCGGUGGCGAAGGCGGUUCUCUGGGCCUUACCUGACGCUGAGGAGCGAAAGCGUGGGGAGCGAACAGGAUUAGAUACCCUGGUAGUCCACGCCGUAAACGUUGGGCGCUAGGUGUGGGAUCCUUCCACGGAUUCCGUGCCGCAGCUAACGCAUUAAGCGCCCCGCCUGGGGAGUACGG